UACGGAGGGUGCGAGCGUUGGCCGGAAUCACUGGGCGUAAAGGGCGCGUAGGCGGCUCAUGAAGGCUGUGGUGAAAGUCCGGGGCUCAACCUCGGAUCGGCCGUGGCGACUCGUGGGCUGGAGCACUGUAGAGGCGGGUGGAAUUCCGGGUGUAGCGGUGGAAUGCGGAGAGAUCCGGAAGAACACCAGUGGCGAAGGCGGCCCGCUGGGCAGUGGCUGACGCUGCAGCGCGACAGCGUGGGGAGCAAACAGG
rnacentral:rRNA from 1 species